rnacentral:tRNA from 1 species
AGGCUUGUAGCUCAGGUGGUUAGAGCGCACUCCUGAUAAGGGUGAGGUCGGUGGUUCAAGUCCACUCAGGCCUA